rnacentral:rRNA from 1 species
AGGACGAACGCUGGCGGCGUGCUUAACACAUGCAAGUCGAGCGAGGCCCACCUUUCGGGGUGGUGUCCUAGCGGCGAACGGGUGAGUAACACGUGGGCAACCUGCCCUCAGCUCUGGGAUAACUCCAAGAAAUUGGGGCUAAUACCGGAUAUGACUGCUGACCGCAUGGUCUGGUGGUGGAAAGAUUUAUCGGCUGGGGGAUGGGCCCGCGGCCUAUCAGCUUUGGUUGGUGGGGUAGUGGCCUACCAAGGCGACGACGGUAGCCGGCCUGAGAGGGUGACCGGCCACACUAGGACUGAGACACGGCCCAGACUCCUACGGGAGGCAGCAGUGGGGAAUAUUGCGCAAUGGGCGAAAGCCUGACGCAGCGACGCCGCGUGGGGAUGACGGCCUUCGGGUGUAAACCGUCUUUCAGUCAGGACGAAGCGAAGUGACGUACUGCAGAAGAGCACCGCCACUACGUGCCAG